AUUGAACGCUGGCGGCAGGCCUAACACAUGCAAGUCGAGCGAGCGGCGGACGGGUGAGUAAUGUAUGGGGACUGCCCGAUAGAGGGGGAUAACUACUGGCAACGGUAGCUAAUACCGCAUACUAUCGGAUAACCCAUAGGGGAUUAGCUAGUAGGUGAGGUAAUGGCUAACCUAGGCGACGAUCCCUAGCUGGGCUGAGAGGAUGAUCAGCGACACGGGGAGGGUGACACGGACCAGACUCCUACGGAGGCAGCAGUGGGGAAUAUUGCACAAUGGGCGCAAGCCUGAUGCAGCCAUGCCGCGGGGAUGAAGAAGGCCCUAGGGUUGUAAAGUACUUUCAGUCGGGAGGCGUUACCGACAGAAGAAGCACCGGCUAACUCCGUGCCAGCAGCCGCGGUAAUUC
rnacentral:rRNA from 1 species